rnacentral:rRNA from 1 species
AGUCGAGCGGACUUUUAAAAGCUUGCUCUUAAAGUUAGCGGCGGACGGGUGAGUAACACGUGGGCAACCUGCCUGUAAGACUGGGAUAACUUCGGGAAACCGGAGCUAAUACCGGAUAAUGCUUCUCCUCUCAUGAGGAGAAACUGAAAGAUGGUUUACGCUAUCACUUACAGAUGGGCCCGCGGCGCAUUAGCUAGUUGGUGAGGUAACGGCUCACCAAGGCGACGAUGCGUAGCCGACCUGAGAGGGUGAUCGGCCACACUGGGACUGAGACACGGCCCAGACUCCUACGGGAGGCAGCAGUAGGGAAUCUUCCGCAAUGGACGAAAGUCUGACGGAGCAACGCCGCGUGAGUGAUGAAGGUUUUCGGAUCGUAAAACUCUGUUGUUAGGGAAGAACAAGUACCGGAGUAACUGCCGGUACCUUGACGG